UGACCGUGUGAGCCAAGCACUGCAUGCGGACCUGUAUCGCGGUAGCGCGUUCCCAGGACUCCCGAUAACAGCACAAUUUUAACGUGCCUGGGACAGACCCGGAGGGCGACCAGCCUUGAGCCACCUGCACCAAGGCAGCUCCUGACAAAAGUGGGCAGAGAGUAUCGCCUUGGAGAAUGAGGGCUGUUGGAAGGGACAUGAGAAGACACCCAGCAGCGACACGGAGACACACCCUCAGCCCUGUAUCCUCCAGACCGGAUCUAGGGAGCAUCCCCAGGGUGGUCACCCUGGCCGCAGCAUCACGGACUUCCACCCACUCCGCACCUAGGGUAACAGCCACGCGUGUCCCCGACAUCCCAGGGUCCCGUCGUGGAGACUGAGCAGGAACAGCCAUGAGGAGGUGACCGUGAGAAAACUUACAUACACAUGCUCACGCACAGACAUGCGCAUAUACUGGCCAAGUGCAUGCAAUCCCCUCAAAGUCCAGAAGGGGCAUCAGAGCCCCAGGGAAUGACGUCACAGACGUUAGGGAUCCUUGUGGGAGCCAGAUACCAAACUUCAGGUCAGAAGCAAAAACAUAUGUUUUUAAAUCCUGCGCAUUGCCACCAUUCCCAGUCAGACCCACUAAAUUUUUUUAAGUACA